rnacentral:rRNA from 1 species
GAUGAACGCUGGCGGCGUGCCUAAUACAUGCAAGUCGAGCGAACGGACGAGAAGCUUGCUUUUCUGAUGUUAGCGGCGGACGGGUGAGUAACACGUGGAUAACCUACCUAUAAGACUGGGAUAACUUCGGGAAACCGGAGCUAAUACCGGAUAAUAUUUUGAACCGCAUGGUUCAAAAGUGAAAGACGGUCUUGCUGUCACUUAUAGAUGGAUCCGCGCUGCAUUAGCUAGUUGGUAAGGUAACGGCUUACCAAGGCAACGAUGCAUAGCCGACCUAAGAGGGUGAUCGGCCACACUGGAACUGAGACACGGUCCAGACUCCUACGGGAGGCAGCAGUAGGGAAUCUUCCGCAAAGGGCGAAAGCCUGACGGAGCAACGCCGCGUGAGUGAUGAAGGUCUUCGGAUCGUAAAACCCUGUUAUUAGGGAAGAACAUAUGUGUAAGUAACUGUGCACAUCUUGACGGUACCUAAUCAGAAAGCCACGGCUAACUACGUG